UACAUGUAUGUGAGAAACCUUUCAGGAACAAGUUGUCUACUAUAGCCAGCCAAGCCUUUACUGCAUACAUGUGCACAUUUUUUUUGAUGACUCUAAAAGAUAUAGUUUUGAUUCGGUGUUUCUUUGUUUUCUUUUUAUUCAAAUAAUUUUAAAAUGUGAUGAUGUACACAACAAUAAUUAGUACCUAGUUUAGAGGAUUUUUUCGCGCUUGUUUGUAAACAACGCGCGGCAUUGUGGGAAAUAGGAAGGUACUAAAGACGCGAUGUACUAAACACUGAUCUGACCUGAUUCAAAUUUGUCUGUAACUGUUCCAAACAAUUGAAUUUUUGUAUAGCAUAUGCCUCAAAGUCAUAAAGUCUGUACAUAAGUAAUUUAAAAUACUCAAUAUUACCAUUUAAUUAAAAAUUAAGACGUCAGGUAAAUAUCAGGUCUCUAGUAUAUCCCGUUUUUAGUGUGCCCCUUCGAGUCGACGUCGGACACUUACAAACUGAAAAUAGAAUGAUUUGUGAAGUUGAACAUUUUCUCACAAAGAAUCCGUUUGUAGACAUGUACACUCAUUUAAUCUGGAGCUACGAAGUACUUUUUCACUUCCCUGGAACAUUAUUCUAAGCAGAAUUAUCCCGAUUCAUAUAUUCUAAGAAUCUUGUGUGAAUUGUUUACGAGGAAAUUCUGACUGUCACAUUAACAAGGAUGAACACUCUUGACUCUGCUUCGGAUUCGGAUCAUCAUAUCAUUCCCCAGUGAUAAUUGUAUCGAGUGGUGAAAGAGCUGACGGCGACAUUUUAAUGUAUGAUUGGCUUGGACCAUUUGAAUGAAGUCAUAUCAUGGUGCCACCACUUGGGAUGGUAUGCAAAUAUAGACUUGUACUCAGCACUUAUUGCCUUUAAGAAGUAUGAGAUCCAUUUUGUGCUAACACCUACCGUGACGCAGAAUCUUGGUUUAUGCAGUCUCAUAGGAGUAACCUGUCUAAAGCAUUUAGCAAUGGGAUUGGAACCUGCGAUGUGUGACUCAUCUGAAUACUGAAUUUUGAUACCAAGCAUGACCAUGAUUUGCCAGAAGAUCAUCUGUUUGGAUGUGACAUGGAAUAAACAGCAUAGUGAAAAUAAGUCAAGUUUUGGUUUGUGAAGACAAUUUUUAAACACACUGUGUAUCAUUUUUAAAUUUUGAUUUGACAACAUAAAUCCACAAAUAUGAACAUAUCAAUUGCUCUCAGUUUUUCAAGUGAAAUAGUUUUUGUAACAGAAAUACAUGUACCAGUAAUUAAAUUGGAAUAAAUGUUAUUUUUAAAUAUAAUAAUAUUUUGUUUGUGUAGCAUGUUGACCUCUUUAUUAAGGUCUUCCCUUUCAAAGUUUAGACUUACUUAUUCUAAUGAUUAAGAAAGAUCCUCUGUCUUCAGCAGGAAUAUAAGAUCUUGUAAUACAUGUAUGUGUAAUUUUUACAGUAUAAUGUAAAAAAAAAAUUUUUAUUUUGGCACAUACAACUAAUUAAAGGCAUAAACAUGUGUAUGAUUCCAAGGAAUUCAGUACAUAGGGCAUGCACAUGUAGUUUUCUAAAACAAGAUUGAAGAGAUGUCCAGUCGCAUUUCAAUGUCAACUCCAAAACUGUGCCUGUUGCAUACUUAUUAGCCCAUCUGAGCUAAAGGAACCAGUAAAUUUUUUAAAAACAUAAUUUUAUCCAUUAUCAUCAUUGUCUAAAAUUUCACAAUAUCAUUUUCCAGAACCAAAGUGAAACUUGGCACAGAGCAUCCUUAGUGUAGGGGAUUCAAAUUGUUCUUAUGCAGGGCAAUACCUUCAAAGAGAUUUGUUUCUUUAAUGCUGUAAAUGUAUUAUAUUUAGCUUGUACAAUAUUUGGUGGAAAUUGACUUUUGAAUAAGUUAGCGUAGAUAUUCUUAUUUAUGUUUAUGUACAAGACUUUUAGCUUUGUACUUGAUUUAGUGAUUGCUGCAUUCCGCCAAAGCCGCUAAAAAAGAAUACACAGCCAUAUGUAAUAUGUUCACAAUAUACCUUUCAGAGAAUUUUACACUCCUAUUGAGGUACCACCAGUUGCUAGUGGAAAGCUUCAAAUUCGAAACAUACACAACACAUUUCUGUGCGUUUAUUAUAAAAGUAUUGUUCUACUUACUGAUUGCAACUAAUGAAGAUUGUUCAUCAUUAUUGUAAAUACAUUUGGAUUUUUUGAAUUAUUAUAUAAUUUGUUUAUUUUAUUUACCUAGUUAUACUGUAUAUUAAAUGAUUUUAAAGCCAUUUUUAAGAUGGUAAUGUAGCAAAACACUUAUGUUUCUGUACUAUGACACGUUUCACAAACAUAAUUGCAACAAACAUGAUAUAUCCGAUAUCAAAAGUCAUAAUAUUGGAAGUUAAACUGUUGUGGAUACGAUUUCAAGAAUGCUGUUAGAGAGAGUACCCUUUAGACCUCAUGCUCACACCAAAUUAAAGAAUUCAAGUAAGGGUUUUUGAGACAAAUCGAAAAAGAGAAUGUUAGAAUAAUAAGACUAGAGCAAAGCUCGUUGCAAAGCAACGAGUGGGUCUUCCUUCCUAGCGAUAAGCAAAAGAUGAAAUGUUUCUGUCUAGAUUGUCAACUAGAUUGUUGACAAUCUAGACAGAAACAUUUAAUCUUUUGCUUAUCGCUAGGAAGGAAGACCCACUCGUUGCUUUGCAACGAGCUUUGCUCUAGUUAUUAUUAUUAUUUUUUUUUUUUUUUUUGACAAAAUUUUGUGCAGGCGAUUUCUCGAAAACUAUUCAGUGGUUUUUCAUGAAACUUUCACAAAAUAUGCGUCAUUAUAUGAAGUUGUUACAUCCGAAGAGUAAUUUGGAAAAUUCGCUUCUGGUGCCAAGUUAUGGACAAUUUCCUGAUUUUAAAAUGCGA